GAUGAACGCUGGCGGCGUGCCUAAUACAUGCAAGUCGAGCGAACAGACGAGGAGCUUGCUCCUCUGACGUUAGCGGCGGACGGGUGAGUAACACGUGGAUAACCUACCUAUAAGACUGGGAUAACUUCGGGAAACCGGAGCUAAUACCGGAUAAUAUAUUGAACCGCAUGGUUCAAUAGUGAAAGACGGUUUUGCUGUCACUUAUAGAUGGAUCCGCGCCGCAUUAGCUAGUUGGUAAGGUAACGGCUUACCAAGGCGACGAUGCGUAGCCGACCUGAGAGGGUGAUCGGCCACACUGGAACUGAGACACGGUCCAGACUCCUACGGUAGGCAGCAGUAGGGAAUCUUCCGCAAUGGGCGAGAGCCUGACGGAGCAACGCCGCGUGAGUGAUGAAGGUCUUCGGAUCGUAAAACUCUGUUAUUAGGGAAGAACAAAUGUGUAAGUAACUAUGCACGUCUUGACGGUACCUAAUCAGAAAGCCACGGCUAACUACGUG
rnacentral:rRNA from 1 species